rnacentral:rRNA from 1 species
GACGGGGGAUGCGAGCGUUAUCCGGAAUGAUUGGGCGUAAAGGGUCCGCAGGUGGCCCGGUCAGUCCGCUGUCAAAGCCUGGGGCUCAACCCUGGAGAGGCGGCGGAGACCACCGGGCUCGAGUCCGGUAGGGGCAGAGGGAAUUCCCGGUGGAGCGGUGAAAUUCGUAGAUAUUGGGAAGAACGACCGGUGGCGAAGGCGGCGACCUGGUCCAUUUCUGGACGCUGAGGCGCGACAGCGUGGGGAGCAAACACGG